AUUGAACGCUGGCGACAUGCCUUACACAUGCAAGUCGAACGGCAGCACGGGUGCUUGCACCUGGUGGCGAGUGGCGAACGGGUGAGUAAUACAUCGGAACAUGUCCUGUAGUGGGGGAUAGCCCGGCGAAAGCCGGAUUAAUACCGCAUACGAUCUACGGAUGAAAGCGGGGGACCUUCGGGCCUCGCGCUAUAGGGUUGGCCGAUGGCUGAUUGGCUAGUUGGUGGGGUAAAGGCCUACCAAGGCGACGAUCAGUAGCUGGUCUGAGAGGACGACCAGCCACACUGGGACUGAGACACGGCCCAGACUCCUACGGGAGGCAGCAGUGGGGAAUUUUGGACAAUGGGCGAAAGCCUGAUCCAGCAAUGCCGCGUGUGUGAAGAAGGCCUUCGGGUUGUAAAGCACUUUUGUCCGGAAAGAAAUCCUUGGCCCUAAUACGGUCGGGGGAUGACGGUACCGGAAGAAUAAGCACCGGCUAACUACGUG
rnacentral:rRNA from 1 species